CAGUGGGGACGUGGCCUCUGGUCAAAGCAGAUGUUCUCAGCAGUAUCUCCUACUAAGGCAACUGACCACAUUGCAGGGCCCCACCCCCUGGGGGAGUUGGACUCAGGUCCUAGUUGCCAGGCAACAGUUCUGAAUAGCUAGAGGAGCAUGGCGGGGGUUGGCGGGAGGACAGGACUUGUGGGAGUAUGUAGGAGUCCUGGAGGAGAGAUGGGGAGGACCUAGGCUUCAGGUCUCUCCAUCUCCAGCUCUCACCACAACUGGAGCCUCACCUCUGUCGGUGCCUGUGGCAUCACCUCAGCUCUUUCUACCUUCUGGAUGGAAGAAAGCUGCAAUACAAUGUGUCACUCUGCUUGUAAUUUACUACUACAAUUCCAUCUUCUUUUUUGGGUUCUCUGCUCCAAGGAGAGGCAUGCAUAAGAAAGGUCUGCAUGAUUAUUCUGCCUUAAUUGCUUUGACUCUCGCUCAUGUCCUCCAUACUGCCGGAACUCCCUCCCCUUUCAUAUCCACAGACCACUACUCUUCUCAUCUUCACAGUCCUACUAAAAUUAUAACUCCUCCAGGAAGGCUUCCCCAACUAACCUCUUCUCCCCAAUUAUAUUUAUUGGGUGCUGACG
rnacentral:lncRNA from 1 species